rnacentral:rRNA from 1 species
GGGGGGAUUAGUGGCGAACGGGUGAGUAACACGUGAGUAACCUGCCCUUGACUCUGGGAUAAGCCUGGGAAACCGGGUCUAAUACUGGAUACGACCUUCUGGCGCAUGCCAUGUUGGUGGAAAGCUUUUGUGGUUUUGGAUGGACUCGCGGCCUAUCAGCUUGUUGGUGGGGUAAUGGCCUACCAAGGCGACGACGGGUAGCCGGCCUGAGAGGGUGACCGGCCACACUGGGACUGAGACACGGCCCAGACUCCUACGGGAGGCAGCAGUGGGGAAUAUUGCACAAUGGGCGCAAGCCUGAUGCAGCGACGCCGCGUGAGGGAUGAAGGCCUUCGGGUUGUAAACCUCUUUCAGUAGGGAAGAAGCCGCUCCUUUGGGGGUGGUGACGGUACCUGCAGAAGAAGCGCCGGCUAACUACGUGCCAGCAGCCGCGGUAAUACGUAGGGCGCAAGCGUUAUCCGGAAUUAUUGGGCGUAAAGAGCUCGUAGGCGGUUUGUCGCGUCUGCCGUGAAAGUCCGGGGCUUAACUCCGGAUCUGCGGUGGGUACGGGCAGACUAGAGUGCAGUAGGGGAGACUGGAAUUCCUGGUGUAGCGGUGAAAUGCGCAGAUAUCAGGAGGAACACCGAUGGCGAAGGCAGGUCUCUGGGCUGUAACUGACGCUGAGGAGCGAAAGCAUGGGGAGCGAACAGGAUUAGAUACCCUGGUAGUCCAUGCC